rnacentral:rRNA from 1 species
GGGUGAGUAACACGUGGGUGAUCUGCCCUGCACUCUGGGAUAAGCCUGGGAAACUGGGUCUAAUACCGGAUAGGACCAUGCUUUAGUGCGUGUGGUGGAAAGUUUUUCGGUGUAGGAUGAGCCCGCGGCCUAUCAGCUUGUUGGUGGGGUAAUGGCCUACCAAGGCGGCGACGGGUAGCCGGACUGAGAGGUUGGUCGGCCACAUUGGGACUGAGAUACGGCCCAG